GUAGGUGAACCUGCGGAAGGAUCAUUAACACUAACAAUGGUUCUUCGGAAUCAUUGGUUUGUUUUAUCCACCGUCAACCUUUUGGUCUUUUUUCUUUUCUUAUCUUUUCUGAAUUGAAAAAGAGAAAGAUGUAAUCUUUUUUAAAAGAAUCUGAAUUAUGAGGGGGGGGAGGAGAUUUACUUUUCCUUUUUCCCCUUGUCUUUCUUUUUUUUUAAAGACAUUUUAUAUUUUUUUUUUCUUUCCUUUCUUA
rnacentral:misc_RNA from 1 species